CUUCACCUGUAAUUAAACUGCUAAAAUGAAACCAGCUUGGCCACAAAACACGUCCAAACUGGUGAUUACACUGCAUGAAAUAAAGGAAUUUAAUUUUCCUAUUUACAUCUCAGUUAAAGAGAACUCUUAGCACCGUGACCAUUCUAAGGCAAUAAAGUGCUUAUAGUACUAACAGGUGGCUGGUGCUGUCUCCCUGGUUCUAUGUCAAACCAGCAAUAUGACACAAACUGGGGAUUCCCGACGCACCCCUCCCAUAUUACCAAUUAUACUUCUGCAUUUCAAUGUCACUACGACCCAUGAUUAGAUGGCAUUAAUUAGAUGUGCAUGUCGGGUCUGGUUAUGGUGCAAAGAGUACGGC